UUAAAAAGCUCGUAGUUGGAUUUCGGAGUGGGCCAGUUGGUCCGCCGCAAGGUGUGUUACUGACUGGUUUGCUCUUCUUCGCAAAGACUGCGUGUGCUCUUUGUUGAGUGUGCGUAGGAUUUACGACGUUUACUUUGAAAAAAUUAGAGCGUUCAAAGCAGGCUAUUGCUUGAAUACAUGAGCAUGGAAUAAUGGAAUAGGACUUUGGUCCCAUUUUGUUGGUUUCUAGGACCGAAGUAAUGAUUAAGAGGGACAAUUGGGGGCAUCCGUAUUUCGUUGUCAGAGGUGAAAUUCUUGGAUUUACGAAAGACGAACAACUGCGAAAGCACUUGCCAAGAGUGUUUUCAUUAAUCAAGAACGAAAGUUAGAGGAUCGAAGACGAUCAGAUACCGUCCUAGUUCUAACCAUAAACGAUGUCGACUAGGGAUCAGCGGGCGUUAUCGUACGACCCCGUUGGCACCUUACGGGAAACCAAAGUUUCUGGAUUCCGGGGGAAGUAUAGUCGCAAGGCCGAAACUUAAAGGAAUUGACGGAAGGGCACCACCAGGAGUGGAGCCUGUGGCUCAAUUUGACUCAACACGGGAAAACUUACCAGGUCCAGACAUAGUAAGGAUUGACAGGUUGAGAG
rnacentral:rRNA from 1 species